CCUACGGGAGGCAGCAGUGAGGAAUAUUGGUCAAUGGGCGCGAGCCUGAACCAGCCAAGCAGCGUGAAGGAUGACUGCCCUACGGGUUGUAAACUUCUUUUAUAAAGGAAUAAAGUGAGGCACGCGUGCCUUUUUGUAUGUACUUGAUGAAUAAGCAUCGGCUAACUCCGUGCCAGCAGCCGCGGUAAUACGGAGGAUCCGAGCGUUAUCCGGAUUUAUUGGGUUUAAAGGGAGCGUAGAUGGGUUGGUAAGUCAGUUGUGAAAGUUUGCGGCUCAACCGUAAAAUUGCAAUUGAUACUGGCAGCCUUGAGUACAGUUGAGGUAGGCGGAAUUCGUGGUGUAGCGGUGAAAUGCUUAGAUAUCGCGAAGAACUCCGAUUGCGAAGGCAGCCUACUAGACUGCCACUGACAUUGAGGCUCGAAAGUGUGGGUAUCAAACAGGAUUAGAUACCCGUGUAGUC
rnacentral:rRNA from 1 species